GGUCGGGUGGUGUAGUUGGUUAUGUAUGUUCCCAUUGCCUCUCAAGUGUCAUGUCUAUCAAAUCCUAAUUCUUCACAGCACAUCUCGUUAACAGUUUACUGUAACAAAAUCCGAGAAGGUCCUGGGAUCGAGCCCCAGCCUGAUCA